GAUGAACGCUGGCGGCGUGCUUAACACAUGCAAGUCGAACGGAAAGGCCCAAGCUUGCUUGGGUACUCGAGUGGCGAACGGGUGAGUAACACGUGGGCGAUCUGCCCUGCACUUCGGGAUAAGCCUGGGAAACUGGGUCUAAUACCGGAUAGGACCACUCCGUAGUUGUUGUGGUGGAAAGUUUUUUCGGUGUGGGAUGAGCUCGCGGCCUAUCAGCUUGUUGGUGGGGUAAUGGCCUACCAAGGCGUCGACGGGUAGCCGGCCUGAGAGGGUGUACGGCCACAUUGGGACUGAGAUACGGACCAGACUCCUACGGGAGGCAGCAGUGGGGAAUAUUGCACAAUGGGCGGAAGCCUGAUGCAGCGACGCCGCGUGGGGGAUGACGGCCUUCGGGUUGUAAACUCCUUUCGCCAAAGACGAAUUUAGGACGGUAUUUGGAGAAGAAGCACCGGCUAACUUCGUG
rnacentral:rRNA from 1 species